UGUGUGUGUUAGUGGAAGCGUCUGGAAAGGCGUGCGAUACAGGGUGACAGCCCCGUACACAAAAAUGCACAUAUUGUGAGCUUGAUGAGUAGGGCGGGACACGUGGUAUCCUGUCUGAAUAUGGGGGGACCAUCCUCCAAGGCUAAAUACUCCUGACUGACCGAUAGUGAACCAGUACCGUGAGGGAAAGGCGAAAAGAACCCCGGCGAGGGGAGUGAAAAAGAACCUGAAACCGUGUACGUACAAGCAGUGGGAGCACGCUUAGGCGUGUGACUGCGUACCUUUUGUAUAAUGGGUCAGCGACUUAUAUUCUGUAGCAAGGUUAACCGAAUAGGGGAGCCGAAGGGAAACCGAGUCUUAACUGGGCGUUAAGUUGCAGGGUAUAGACCCGAAACCCGGUGAUCUAGCCAUGGGCAGGUUGAAGGUUGGGUAACACUAACUGGAGGACCGAACCGACUAAUGUUGAAAAAUUAGCGGAUGACUUGUGGCUGGGGGUGAAAGGCCAAUCAAACCGGGAGAUAGCUGGUUCUCCCCGAAAGCUAUUUAGGUAGCGCCUCGUGAAUUCAUCUCCGGGGGUAGAGCACUGUUUCGGCA
rnacentral:rRNA from 1 species